rnacentral:tRNA from 7 species
AGCCCUCUAGCUCAGUUGGUAGAACACAAGGCUUUUAACCAUGUGGUCUUGGGUUCAAGCCCCACAAUGGGUGU